rnacentral:rRNA from 1 species
UACGUAGGGGGCAAGCGUUGUCCGGAAUCAUUGGGCGUAAAGAGCGUGUAGGUGGCUCGGUAAGUCCGCUGUGAAAGUCCAGGGCUCAACCCUGGAAAGCCGGUGGAAACUGUCGAGCUCGAGUCCGGAAGAGGCGAGUGGAAUUCCUGGUGUAGCGGUGAAAUGCGCAGAUAUCAGGAGGAACACCAAUGGCGAAGGCAGCUCGCUGGGACGGUACUGACACUGAGACGCGAAAGCGUGGGGAGCAAACAGGAUUAGAGUACCC